CCGCGUGAGUGAUGAAGGCCUUCGGGUCGUAAAACUCUGUCCUCAAGGAAGAUAAUGACGGUACUUGAGGAGGAAGCCCCGGCUAACUACGUGCCAGCAGCCGCGGUAAUACGUAGGGGGCUAGCGUUAUCCGGCUUUACUGGGCGUAAAGGGUGCGUAGGCGGUCUUUCAAGUCAGGAGUGAAAGGCUACGGCUCAACCGUAGUAAGCUCUUGAAACUGGGAGACUUGAGUGCAGGAGAGGAGAGUGGAAUUCCUAGUGUAGCGGUGAAAUGCGUAGAUAUUAGGAGGAACACCAGUUGCGAAGGCGGCUCUCUGGACGGCAACUGACGCUG
rnacentral:rRNA from 1 species